AAACCAUUUGGUUAAAGAUUUUUUCAAUCCAAAUGAUUCGGUUUGGUUUAAACCGAAACGAAAAACCAAAGUUUUUAAUCAAAUUAAUUAAAUAUAGUAAUAUAAUAAUAGUAUUAAAAUUUAAUAUAUUUAACCAUUUAACCUAGACAACUAAACAUCUUAUAAUAUAAAAAAAAGAUAUUGUUUCUCUUCUGGUAAGUCCACACGUCAGAAAAUCAGUGUUUCUGGACACGACACGUGGCAUGAUUUAAACAUUUCGCAAGUUUUGGUUUUAGGCUAUUAUUUGGGCUUGAUAAAUUGAUUAAUUCAUGGUGGGUUGCUUAUUGUUCGUAGUCCGUUCUAGGAGCAUCCGCCUUCUCCAUAAAAUAACUUCACUGAAACCCUAAGAGACGAUUCUGUAAAUCUUCUACGAGAAACUUGAAACGCUUGGUGGUUAUGCCCAAGCGAAGAGACGUAUUCAACGCAGUCAUCAACCAUUGUCGAUCAAUCCUUCAAGCUUCCCCAUUUAUUGCCUUCGUCAAUAUUUACGACUAUAAAAAGUUUUGGUGGAACAGAUAGCGUGGUUGGAAUAACCAGAAUGCCAUCAUCCUUGAUACAGAUGGUACAAAGUUAAGCUACGAACAAAACUAAGAGGCCUCAUAAUGAAAGAGCGGAACCUUGAGAAGUGAGCCAAUAGCUACCCGCAUCUGGUUCCUAAUAGUGUUCAGGUUCCUCAAUCUCUUCACUGGCCAGCUCUGUUGUCUUGCCUUAGACAAAACAUAAUGGAGGUGGUGUAUGACUGGGCAAAACGAUCUAAGUUUUAUGAGAUCAUGGAGAUUGCUGUGUUCUUAAAGGGAGCUUGGCUUGAUCAGAACAACAAGGAGAAUGGGAGGAAGUUCUGCAAAAAGCUCAUAGUAGCUGGAAAUUUUACAUGCUAGAAGAAGCUGUUUCCCAGAUCAAGAGAGACAUUGUAUUUGCAGCAUUUGGUUUAUCUCCACCAACAUUAAUGGAACAAAAGAUUUCAAUAGGAUUUCACCAAGGUUUUGUUUUACUCUUCAAAAAUAGUUACAUGCAA